rnacentral:rRNA from 1 species
UAAUACGAAGGGGGCUAGCGUUGCUCGGAAUUACUGGGCGUAAAGGGAGCGUAGGCGGACUGUUUAGUCAGAGGUGAAAGCCCAGGGCUCAACCUUGGAAUUGCCUUUGAUACUGGCAGUCUUGAGUACGGAAGAGGUAUGUGGAACUCCGAGUGUAGAGGUGAAAUUCGUAGAUAUUCGGAAGAACACCAGUGGCGAAGGCGACAUACUGGUCCGUUACUGACGCUGAGGCUCGAAAGCGUGGGGAGCAAACAGG